GGGUUGUGAGGUUAAGCGACUAAGCGUACACGGUGGAUGCCCUGGCAGUCAGAGGCGAUGAAGGGCGUGCUAAUCUGCGAUAAGCGCCGGUAAGGUGAUAUGAACCGUUAUAACCGGCGAUACCCGAAUGGGGAAACCCAGUGUGAUUCGUCACACUAUCAUUAACUGAAUCCAUAGGUUAAUGAGGCGAACCGGGGGAACUGAAACAUCUAAGUACCCCGAGGAAAAGAAAUCAACCGAGAUUCCCCCAGUAGCGGCGAGCGAACGGGGAGGAGCCCAGAGCCUGAAUCAGCAUGUGUGUUAGUGGAAGCGUCUGGAAAGGCGCGCGAUACAGGGUGACAGCCCCGUACACAAAAGCGCAUGUGCUGUGAGCUCGAUGAGUAGGGCGGGACACGUGGUAUCCUGUCUGAAUAUGGGGGGACCAUCCUCCAAGGCUAAAUACUCCUGACUGACCGAUAGUGAACCAGUACCGUGAGGGAAAGGCGAAAAGAACCCCGGCGAGGGGAGUGAAAAAGAACCUGAAACCGUGUACGUACAAGCAGUGGGAGCNNGUGACUGCGUACCUUUUGUAUAAUGGGUCAGCGACUUAUAUUCUGUAGCAAGGUUAACCGAAUAGGGGAGCCGGAGGGAAACCGAGUCUUAAUUGGGCGUUAAGUUGCAGGGUAUAGACCCGAAACCCGGUGAUCUAGCCAUGGGCAGGUUGAAGGUUGGGUAACACUAACUGGAGGACCGAACCGACUAAUGUUGAAAAAUUAGCGGAUGACCUGUGGCUGGGGGUGAAAGGCCAAUCAAACCGGGAGAUAGCUGGUUCUCCCCGAAAGCUAUUUAGGUAGCGCCUCGUGAAUUCAUCUCCGGGGGUAGAGCACUGUUUCGGCUAGGGGGCCAUCCCGGCUUACCAACCCGAUGCAAACUGCGAAUACCGGAGAAUGUUAUCACGGGAGACACACGGCGGGUGCUAACGUCCGUCGUGAAGAGGGAAACAACCCAGACCGCCAGCUAAGGUCCCAAAGUCAUGGUUAAGUGGGAAACGAUGUGGGAAGGCCCAGACAGCCAGGAUGUUGGCUUAGAAGCAGCCAUCAUUUAAAGAAAGCGUAAUAGCUCACUGGUCGAGUCGGCCUGCGCGGAAGAUGUAACGGGGCUAAACCAUGCACCGAAGCUGCGGCAGCGACGCUUAUGCGUUGUUGGGUAGGGGAGCGUUCUGUAAGCCUGUGAAGGUGUGUCGUGAGGCAUGCUGGAGGUAUCAGAAGUGCGAAUGCUGACAUAAGUAACGAUAAAGCGGGUGAAAAGCCCGCUCGCCGGAAGACCAAGGGUUCCUGUCCAACGUUAAUCGGGGCAGGGUGAGUCGACCCCUAAGGCGAGGCCGAAAGGCGUAGUCGAUGGGAAACGGGUUAAUAUUCCCGUACUUGGUGUUACUGCGAAGGGGGGACGGAGAAGGCUAUGUUGGCCGGGCGACGGUUGUCCCGGUUUAAGCGUGUAGGUGUGUGUUCCAGGUAAAUCCGGUUCACUUUAACACUGAGGCGUGAUGACGAGGCACUACGGUGCUGAAGUAACAAAUGCCCUGCUUCCAGGAAAAGCCUCUAAGCAUCAGGUAACAUCAAAUCGUACCCCAAACCGACACAGGUGGUCAGGUAGAGAAUACCAAGGCGCUUGAGAGAACUCGGGUGAAGGAACUAGGCAAAAUGGUGCCGUAACUUCGGGAGAAGGCACGCUGACACGUAGGUGAAGUGAUUUACUCAUGGAGCUGAAGUCAGUCGAAGAUACCAGCUGGCUGCAACUGUUUAUUAAAAACACAGCACUGUGCAAACACGAAAGUGGACGUAUACGGUGUGACGCCUGCCCGGUGCCGGAAGGUUAAUUGAUGGGGUCAGCGCAAGCGAAGCUCCUGAUCGAAGCCCCGGUAAACGGCGGCCGUAACUAUAACGGUCCUAAGGUAGCGAAAUUCCUUGUCGGGUAAGUUCCGACCUGCACGAAUGGCGUAAUGAUGGCCAGGCUGUCUCCACCCGAGACUCAGUGAAAUUGAACUCGCUGUGAAGAUGCAGUGUACCCGCGGCAAGACGGAAAGACCCCGUGAACCUUUACUAUAGCUUGACACUGAACAUUGAGCCUUGAUGUGUAGGAUAGGUGGGAGGCUUUGAAGUGUGGACGCCAGUCUGCAUGGAGCCGACCUUGAAAUACCACCCUUUAAUGUUUGAUGUUCUAACGUGGACCCGUGAUCCGGGUUGCGGACAGUGUCUGGUGGGUAGUUUGACUGGGGCGGUCUCCUCCUAAAGAGUAACGGAGGAGCACGAAGGUUGGCUAAUCCUGGUCGGACAUCAGGAGGUUAGUGCAAUGGCAUAAGCCAGCUUGACUGCGAGCGUGACGGCGCGAGCAGGUGCGAAAGCAGGUCAUAGUGAUCCGGUGGUUCUGAAUGGAAGGGCCAUCGCUCAACGGAUAAAAGGUACUCCGGGGAUAACAGGCUGAUACCGCCCAAGAGUUCAUAUCGACGGCGGUGUUUGGCACCUCGAUGUCGGCUCAUCACAUCCUGGGGCUGAAGUAGGUCCCAAGGGUAUGGCUGUUCGCCAUUUAAAGUGGUACGCGAGCUGGGUUUAGAACGUCGUGAGACAGUUCGGUCCCUAUCUGCCGUGGGCGCUGGAGAACUGAGGGGGGCUGCUCCUAGUACGAGAGGACCGGAGUGGACGCAUCACUGGUGUUCGGGUUGUCAUGCCAAUGGCACUGCCCGGUAGCUAAAUGCGGAAGAGAUAAGUGCUGAAAGCAUCUAAGCACGAAACUUGCCCCGAGAUGAGUUCUCCCUGAGACUU
rnacentral:rRNA from 1 species